rnacentral:tRNA from 1 species
AGGCGAAUGGUGAAACGGUUAUCAUUACGGUCUCCAAAACCGUCGUUCUCAGUUCGAAUCUGAGUUCGCCUGCCA